UACGGAGGGUGCAAGCGUUAUCCGGAUUUACUGGGUUUAAAGGGCGCGCAGGCGGGCUGAUAAGUCAGUGGUGAAAUCCCCGAGCUUAACUUGGGAACUGCCAUUGAUACUAUUAGUCUUGAAUGUUGUGGAGGUAAGCGGAAUAUGUCAUGUAGCGGUGAAAUGCAUAGAUAUGACAUAGAACACCUAUUGCGAAGGCAGCUUACUACGCAAAUAUUGACGCUGAGGCUCGAAAGCGUGGGGAUCAAAC
rnacentral:rRNA from 1 species